CCACAGGCAAGAGAUCAAGAAAUUCCCACAGGAUAAGAUGAGGAAACUAGAGCCCAGAGAGGUUAAGUAACUUGCUCCACUCACAUGCCUGCUGAGUGGUUUUGAGUGACAGUUUGUGGACCAAGACAGAAUGAAGUUUUCAUCAGUUCACUGAUACAUAAGAAAAGCAAAGACCGGCUAGUGAGCCGUGUGCGCUAGCAGGUACGGGAGUCUCCAACCACUCCACCUGUGCUAAGGGGAAACCUGUGUCGAGGUGAGAAGCUCAAUCCAUGGAGGAAGAUGCGAGAAACCUAUGUCGGCCUUGGGUCCACGCCACUUCUCAGAGCAGCUCUCACAGCAACAAGGCUGAUCUUCUGUCCAUGUCUUCCAGUUCAGGACUUGGGCAGGGAAGGACACACAGGCCCCUGAGAAUCCCAGCACUGCGUUCCUAAGCUGUGGGUGCCGGGUGUCUCCCAAACUCGCUCUCUUCUAAG
rnacentral:lncRNA from 1 species